rnacentral:piRNA from 1 species
UAAGUAAGCAUUGCUUUCAACUUAAAGGAA